GCGGGUGUGGCGGAAUUGGCAGACGCGUAUGGUUCAGGUCCAUAUGGAGCUUGCCUCCUUGGGGGUUCAAGUCCCUUCACCCGCA
rnacentral:tRNA from 1 species